GGGCAAUUGCUCCACUACAAGAUGGACCUGCGUUGUAUUAGCUAGUAGGUGAGGUAAUGGCUCACCUAGGCGACGAUACAUAGCCGACCUGAGAGGGUGAUCGGCCACACUGGGACUGAGACACGGCCCAGACUCCUACGGGAGGCAGCAGUAGGGAAUCUUCGGCAAUGGGGGCAACCCUGACCGAGCAAGACCGCGUGGGGGAAGAAGGCUCUUGGGUUGUAAACCCCCUUUUCUCUGGGAAGAAAGU
rnacentral:rRNA from 1 species